rnacentral:rRNA from 1 species
GCCGAGCAGAGCGCGAGGAGAUAGAGGCGAGCUACCAGUCCCAGAUCAGAGUCAGACAAGGCGAUAGUCAUUGACUUCCACGCCCAGCCCAUCGUCCACCUCCCUCCCAAUCGGAUCCACCCACCCACCCUUCCUCACCUCCCUCCCUAUAAUUUCUCUUCCCCCGCUCCCAACUGCCUCCCAGUCUCACGCCCUCCCCUUCCUCGCUUGUUCCACCGGCUCACUCCACUCCCCGCCGCUCCCCUCUGUCCGCCCGCCGGCGGAGGGUUCAGCGCUUGUUUCCCGGCGAGCUUCCUCUGGGGCGUGUGGGGGGACUGUGACUCUGCGAGCAUGGCGGGGAAGGGGAAGGAGGAGGAGGUGUACGUGGCGUCGAUCGACCAGGGGACGACCAGCACCAGGUUCAUCAUCUACGACCGCCACGCCAGCCCCGUCGCCUCCCACCAGCUCGAGUUCAAGCAGCACUACCCGGAGGCCGGAUGGGUUGAGCAUGAUCCUAUGGAGAUCAUGGAGAGCGUGAAGGUCUGCAUGGCAAAGACACUCGAAAAGGCUGCAGCUAGUGGACUUAAUGUGGAUGCUGGUUUGAAGGCCAUUGGAAUCACAAAUCAGAGGGAGACUACCGUUGUGUGGAGCAAAUCCACAGGCCUUCCGCUCUACAAUGCAAUUGUGUGGAUGGAUGUUCGCACUAGCUCUAUCUGCAGGAGACUGGAAAGUGAGCUAUCAGGUGGCAGAACCCACUUUGUGGAGACAUGUGGUUUACCAAUCAGUACCUACUUCAGUGCUCUGAAGUUAUUAUGGUUGAUGGAGAAUGUUGACGCUGUCAAGGAUGCAGUCCGGGCUGGUGAUGCAUUAUUUGGCACAAUCGACACCUGGUUGAUCUGGAACCUCACUGGAGGCAUUGGUGGGAAAGACCGUGAUGGAAAGGAGUUAGUUGGGCAGCAUGUCACAGACUGCUCGAACGCAGCACGCACAAUGCUUAUGAAUCUAAAGGCACUUGACUGGGACAAGCCUACACUUGAGGCAUUAGGCAUUCCUGCCGGCAUCUUGCCAAAGAUUAUCAGUAACUCGGAGAAAAUUGGCGUGGUUGCCAGUGGGUUCCCUUUGGCUGGUGUUUCCAUCUCAGGCUGUUUAGGAGAUCAGCAUGCUGCGAUGCUUGGGCAGCUAUGCCAGAAAGGUGAAGCAAAAAGCACCUACGGAACUGGUGCCUUCAUCCUUCUCAACACAGGGGAGGAGGUCACACAGUCUACCCACGGUCUUCUUAGCACUAUUGCUUACAAGCUUGGCCCAGAUGCACCCACUAAUUAUGCUUUAGAAGGCUCAAUUGCAAUUGCUGGUGCAGCAGUUCAGUGGUUGAGGGACAGCCUUGGAAUCAUUUCCUCAGCAUCAGAAAUUGAAGGAUUGGCUGAAAGUGUGCAAGAUUCAGGUGGGAUUUACUUUGUGCCAGCUUUCAAUGGAUUGUUCGCGCCAUGGUGGAGGGAUGACGCGAGGGGGAUCUGUAUCGGAAUCACGAGGUUCACAAACAAGGGGCACAUUGCUCGAGCAGUGCUCGAGAGUAUGUGCUUUCAGGUGAAUGAUGUUCUCAGCUCCAUGCAUAAGGAUGCUGGGGAGGCAGGAGAAGUCAAGAGUGCAGAAGGGGAAUUCUUGCUGCGUGUCGAUGGUGGUGCUACUGUUAACAACCUUCUCAUGCAGAUCCAGGCCGAUUUGCUGGGCAGCCCUGUUGUCAGACCAGCCGACACCGAGACGACAGCCCUUGGAGCCGCAUACGCAGCAGGAUUAGCUGCCGGAGUCUGGACGAAGGAGGAGAUAUUCGCAGGCCUGCACAAGGAGAACACAACGGUUUUCCGCCCCAAGUUAGAUGACGCACACAGGAAGAAGAGAGGAGAGUCCUGGAACAAGGCGGUUUCAAGAUCAUUUGACCUGGCUGACCUUUCUCUCUAGUUUGUUACACCUUGUUGCGCGGCAAAAUUGGAUCAGUGUGUGCCAGCCCAUGUUUGUCGACGAAUAAAUGGUAUGUUGUACAUUAUUUCGGUGGGAUUUUUCUUUGGCUUUAUAUAGGAAGAAUUGGAGCAUAAAUGUCCUUGUAUAUCUAUAAGUACAGGAGCAUCUGGAUUCUUCAGAGAGAAGUGCUUGUGGAGUAACAAAAUUCAGUUUCAU